rnacentral:tRNA from 1 species
GUGGCUCAGUGGUAGAACAUUUGCCUAACAUGCAUAAGGCCCUGGGUUUAAGUCCCAGC